GUAAUGAAUCGAACGGCUCCUACCUUCGUGCUGCAGCUAUAAGCACCACCCAGUGAUUGAUGGCAAGCCGGGUGGGGGGCAUACAUCUUGUAGGGGAGAGAGAAGACAUCAGCAGUUCCCAUCAAUCCUGGCCCGGGAGUGUUGGCCCUGUCGCCCAAUGGGGCAUCUUCACGUGGGAGGGGGGGAGGAAAAAAAAGCAUCAAGAGCUGCGGCUUCUAUCAGCGGGCAGACGGAGGGGGUGGAAGUAAAUGGAGGUCGGAAGGAAGGAUGUGGGUGACGUGCUUGACGGUGCCACCGGUCCCCUCAACCCCUCCCUUAAAAAAGUCAAACCGUUGGUCUUUGCAGACUUCGUCAGAAAUUGACCGGCUGUCAGCCUCCAGCCUGACCUCUGUGAAAACACGAAGAAUCGGCACUGGCGGUCUGGGAAGGGAGGCUGGGUUUGAAUGAAAAUGCAGAUGUGAUUCUGCACUUUUCCAAUGCAAGAUUACAGUUGUGGCUUUCCAUUAAAUCCAUGUUUCGUCCUGCAUCAUUAUUGAUCAGUCCAGAAAGCCCACAAUGAAGAAAUAUGAACACACUCUCCGUACAAACCUCCUUGUUCAAGUUGCUCUAAAGGACGUGAGUGUAUUUAUGGGAUGGAAACAUGGACGGAGUGGAAUCUCGAAUGAAGAGAAGGGAACUUCCUGUCGUUUUGUUUAAACGGUUGGGGUUUGUCUUUGGAAUUGCCCACAUAUUGUUUCUCUGGUUCUGAUGAAGCGGGAAGAUUGGCUUCAGGGAAUACAACCGCAGCACUCAGCACUCUGGAUGGAAGCUCUGCCAGCAAAUUCAUUUUCUUGUUCUUCGUCACUUGAUUCAGAGAGAGGAGCAUCCCUGACUGCAGACGCUCGCCCAUCUGUUAUCACUCUUGCCAUUCCUGGGCCUCCCUUUUAGCUUUCUGUAAACAUGCUCUGUUGCAAAACAUUAAAAAGGAAAUCCAUAAAGUCCUGCAGGACAGGUGAUCUUUAGCGCUGGCUGCUCAAUGCAAGUUCUUGGAGUUCGGAGUUUUUGAUUGCAGAAAACCGGAAUGCAAUAAUUAGAGGCCAUGAGAACGUGUGGUAACGCAGCAGAGGAAGGAAAAUCUCGCUGCAUGUUUGCAAGAAAAGAAGCAGCUUCUAUGGGUUCAUUCGGCUGCAUGAACCCUCAUUCUAAACCCAAAUGUAAAUGUCUUCCAUGGAUGGAAAAAAAAGAAGAGGUGGAUUUGCUUUAUUUGCCAGCUUUGUAUGUUUUUUUUUAAAGGCACAAAUGUCCCGAAAAUGAACUGAAAAACGAUUCACAAAUAGUUUCUGCAUAAAUGGACGGCAUCCAGUGCCUCUCAUCCACACAUCUGCCAUCACUUACAAGUCGAGUACUGAAUGUAAUGAAGCAAGAAGGUCUAAAUAGCUGCCUUGGAAUACUAACCAUGUGGAACUUUAUACCAGAGGCAUUAGAGGCAGCUAUGCAGUCAGCAGUAAGUGCUGGGGAAAGACAGUGGGAAUCUCCCCCUGGUCUCAAAGCAGAUUUAAUAGUCCUUGUUACCUGGGAAACCAGCUGGAGGCACUCCCUUAUAAAUUAUUAAUGAGCGGCUGUCUUGCAAUAUCUGUGUUAGCGUUGCUGCAGCUUAGCUGGCGAGGGGAGCUCCCUCAGAUCGGCAGAGACCUCUAGUGGCGGCCAUGCGAGGAAGCUGUGAACUCAACUCUGGAGCAACGAGCAAAGUGGGUUGAAGUCACCCUCAUCUGCAUGCGGAGCUCUCUGAAAAGGCAGAAGGCCUUGAUCUCCUCGCCGCCGCAGCUCAGCCAGCGUUUGUGCCGCACAGGGGGGGGGGUUGGGUCGUCUCUGUUCCUUUAAAGGGAAUCUGAUUUGAAGGAGCGACAGCAGGGGAGCUGACCUUCUCCCCCGCUCUGCCUUUUUCCCUCUGGGCUUCCAUGGCUGCGUUCAAUCAAGUGCCUCCACCGUGUUUAUGCAGAAUGUGAUGUUUAUCCAGUGGCUGCCCACGUGUGCGAUUGCUUUCACGCACGCCAACGCGCAUGGAUAAACACCCACAGCCCAGCGCUGAGUGAAGGAGAGCUGGGGUUUGUGUUGGAGGACGUGCGCACGCAGGGCCGAGGGGGUGACCGCGGAGGAAUGCGCCGCUCCAGGCAGCACUCUGCUUGGACGGUUACCACUUAGGAUGCUUGAAAAGGCCAAAAGAAAAAAGUUUAGGAAGGACGUUUCCUCAUCACUUGUGAUGCUUUUGUAAAGCAGAUCCAGAAAAAAAAAAUGUCACAUAAGAUUUUGUCACGUUGGUCUGAGCUCUCAGCAUCUCAGAUCAUAGAAUAAAAAGCCCUGCAGAGUUGUAAUCUUCUUCUUUUUUUAACACAAAACCACCGCAAAAAAUGAGAACUGUGUCAAAACCAGUUAAAUUCAUCCAUAUAAACAUCUGAAGUUAGUUGAACAUUUAGGGUUUAUUUAUGACAAUAAACGUAUUUGAUAAUUUUGUACGAGACUUAUUCAUCUUUCUUGUGUUUCGUAAGUUGACAUGUAGCGCAUAUUUGUAGUUUUUUUUCCACACAAACUCCGAUCAAAAUAUCAAAGACAUAACUUAAAUGAAGCCAAAAAACAAACGUACAAAUCUUUUUUUUUUUGUCACAAUGCAAAUUUUUACACUCGCUGAAUUUCGAAAGUCGACAUAAAAAAUUUGUGGCGUUUAUAGCAAAUAAAGGGAAAUAUUGCAAACCAGGUGAAACUCUUCAACUUCUAGGUUGAAGCUCGUUUCAAAAACAAAAGUGGCUAUAGCUGGUUGCAGUUCACUAAGUAACCAGUAGGGGGCCGAAAACAGAACUGAAUAAACUCACUUUCUGGUUCCCAAAGGUGUCUGGAGUUUGUUCUAAUGUUUGUUUACCGAGGCUGAAUCCUCACAACACCAGCAUGUUUUCUUUGGACUGUUCUCACAAAUCCGACUUUACAGCCAACGUCUAGUUCUUGUCAGGUUUGUUUAUUCUGCCAUGUGGCCUGUUUUUAUUGACAUAUCUGCUCUAGAAAUUAAUGACGAGGAAUCUGCCAAAACACAUUUUUCUCAUGAAAUGUAUUUAUGAUGGAUUUUCCUAUCAGAAUACAUGAACAAUCUUUGAUUAUUAGCUUCUGACUGGAAAUUGGGGGCCUUUAUAUAACCCUGUUUACAUUUGCUAAUACAAUUGUUUUUAUCUUGACAUUUUAGCGCAUCUUUACCGAAGAUUUCUGCUUUGGUUCUGAAGCAUCAGGCAGAAAAGUCUUUGGCACUUGAAUAUGUUGAUGCUGAAGGACUAACAUGCGUGUUAGAAAUGUUGGCGUCCAUGUAGUUUCACUUGCUUUUGCAUCCUAAUAUUGCUCAGGCGGGGGCAGGAAAGUCCCCUGUGGUGACCCAGCCACGGUGUCUGCUUUCUUCGCUCUGUCCCUGUGCGUUAGAGGAGCUGAGCCUUCUAAAUAGAGCGCAGAUAUAUUUAUGUCCAGUCGCUCUCAUGUUUGCCUCUGCGCCCACGUUUGGGCUGCACCCCAAUCAUGAGUGAGGUCAUGUGGCAUGAAGGUUUGUGCGUGCGAGGACGCCUCGUUAUAACCGCACACACUAAAGCUUCAGAAUCAGAGUAAACUUUUAAUUGAACCUACAACGU